CUUAUAAUUUCUUUUAGAAAAACCAAAGCACUCUCUUGACGUCAACCGAAAUAAUGACUCUAAGAGUCCCGUUCAGCCGCCACAAAUCUUCUUUGUAAGAUGUACAUAACCAGACGUGUUCGUGAUUAUGAGUCAUUAGCUAAGAAUGUUGAUGGUUCUCAACGUAGAAAUCAUGAUGUGUCAUUAAAUUGGAUUGUUUAGUUAGAAUUAGCCAGAGAUAUGCCCAAUUUUAUUGUGCUUUUAUUAUUUUUGCUAAUAUUUUGUCUCCUCUUCAGGUAGUUAAGAGUUACUUGGCAGUUGGUAAAGAUAUUGCAUUAUCUAGAGUUUUGGCAAGAAACAGAUAAAGCAACUUAUCUUUUGAGCCAAUAUUUCUUUCAUAAAUUGUAUGGUUGAUUAAGUACUCGACCUUUUCUUAGUUUCGUUGAGAAGAAAUGGUUGGCUUUUCAGGUGAUAUCAAGUGUGAAAAAGUGCUAAUUACGUUAUCAAAUUGGCUUUAUCUUGCCGACUUUGCCUCUUUCAAACCCACUUACAUUCCGUAUGAUGACCCAUUUGAUUUCUCUUUUUUCUUUGACACGGGUGGCAGAAGACUCUGCUAUCUAGCACCUGAUGUUGGAUCCUAUAAUUUUA